rnacentral:rRNA from 1 species
UGUGAGUCAUUGUAGCAAUACAAGGCAGACGGCUCAGUAACACGUAGCCAACCUACCCUAUGGACGGGGAUAACCUCGGGAAACUGAGGAUAAACCCCGAUAGAUCAUAAUGCCUGGAACGGUUUAUGGUCCAAAUGAUUCGUCGCCGUAGGAUGGGACUGCGGCCUAUCAGCUUGUUGGUGAGGUAAUGGCCCACCAAGGCUAUUACAGGUACGGGCUCUGAGAGGAGAAGCCCGGAGAUGGGUACUGAGACACGGACCCAGGCCCUAUGGGGCGCAGCAGGCGAGAAAACUUUGCAAUGUGCGCAAGCACGACAAGGUUAAUCCGAGUGUUUCCUGCUAAAGGAAUCUUUUGCUAGUCCUAAAAACACUAGCGAAUAAGGGGUGGGCAAGUUCUGGUGUCAGCCGCCGCGGUAAAACCAGCACCUCAAGUGGUCAGGAGGAUUAUUGGGCCUAAAGCAUCCGUAGCCUGCUCUGUAAGUUUCCGGUUAAAUCCAUUAGCUUAACUGAUGGGCCGCUGGAAAAACUGCAAAGCUAGGGAGUGGGAGAGGUAGACGGUACUCGGUAGGAAGGGGUAAAAUCCUUUGAUCUAUUGAUGACCACCAGUGGCGAAGGCGGUCUACCAGAACACGUUCGACGGUGAGGGAUGAAAGCUGGGGGAGCAAACCGGAUUAGAUACCCGGGUAGUCCCAGCUGUAAACGAUGCAGACUCGGUGAUGCCCUGGCUUGUGGCCAGUGCAGUGCCGCA